UUCAAAUUUUAUUUAGUCUUUUGGUUCCAUAAGAGAAAAGGAAUCAUCAGCAAUCUUUAACCUGUAAGUCUGAAGUAUUCCGAGUCAAGCAAAAUUUGUCUGUGGGAGACAUUGCCUAACCUAGUCUCUUUUCAAUAUACUUUUUUUUUUCCAUCAGAAACCUCUUCCAUCACUAGUUUAUAUUUUGGCCAAACUAGGAAACCAGACUAACAAGUAUGAAACACAAGGAGUAACUGAGGGUGAUACUCAUGAACUUGGAUGAGACAUCUGAUUUUCUAUACCUUUCUGAGGAUGAAUGUCUAAUACAGAAAUACUUGCUUUCUUUAGCCUCAAAGGACAAAUGACUGUCCUAUCAAACAAUGAAUGCUCCUGUUUUCAGUGUUCAUGCUACAUCUUAAAACGUUUUUGUUUUCACAGUGACUAACGUUUAGUAGAUGUUCAUACAUAAAAUGGUGAAAAAUUGGUCC
rnacentral:lncRNA from 1 species